rnacentral:lncRNA from 1 species
AUGAAGAAAAGACCAUGAAAGUUGACAAUGUUAUCAUUGCACUGAAAAAGAAGAUGAAGAAAAGGACAUGAAAGUUGAAGUUUGUUUUCUUACAAAAAUUGAAAAAAAGAAGAGAAAAUUUAAAAUUCAAAAUCCAGACAUGAUUCUUGUAUACUUGCAUUUGAACCAAUUUAUCCCUUUUCUUAUGGAAUCUUUGACCUUCCCUUCCACUGUAUACAACUUGUACUUUGCAACGCGUCGUCGCCUUUUCACUUCUAAUUUCUUCCCCCAUGACUUUCCACCUGAUGUUUUCGAGGAUUCUGAUGCUGUCUUCAUCCCACGUGGUUUCACUGAUGAUGGAUUCAUGGUAGAUUGACGACCUGAUUGGUUUAGGUGUAUCUUGUUUUCGCUUAGUUUUCUCACGUCUAUGAUUCUGAGGUUCCGAUCGCCCUUGUUUGGACGACGAUGGACCCCUUCCAUCAUCCUCUCUCUUUCUGUAUGUUUCUCUCUUUUUGGCUUUUUAGGGGAAGAGAAAAGAGGGAAAACCUCUGGUGGAAUGAGAAAAGAGCCGUGAUUAUGGGAUUUCUUAAUCAUAGUAUCUUUAAAUUUUGUUCAUUGGACCUUCCUUUUCUAUCAGGUUGUUGCCUCAUGGCUUGCUAAUUAUGGAACAUUUUUAUGGUUGUGAUCAAAAUUUUGUGGGGAGGGAAGAUAUUUUGUUAAGAGUUUUAAUUAGGUUGCAUCACAGAUUCACAUCAAUACUCUAAAAUUAUGUAUAACCAUUAAAUUCUAGGACGUUGACUAUAACUUACAAGAGUUUGUGGUUUGUACUAGUUAGAUUGAAUAUGAAGAAUCUUCUUUGAUUGUAUAACAGGUUGCUCAAGUAGCACAAUGUCUUAAGUCCAUACUGUAUCAAAGUGCAUAAUUUAUUUGGUGUAACCAUUUAUGUUGUGCUGCUUCAAUUACGCCAUCUUAUCACCUGUUGCAUUAACGCAAGUAUAAAUCAUAAGUAGUACUAAACCCUGUAAAUAUUUUUUGAAAAUUUUCUUAUAAAUCUUGUUUUUCUUAACAAUGAAGUUUCUUUCCUUACCCAGAGUGCUGCAUUUCCUUCGUUUGUAUCAAAAAAGUCAAUAAAAACAUUAUUGAGUUUCUUCGUCCUACUCUUGAAUAACUUCUUUUCUUUUUCUUUUUAUUUAUUUGAAAACAUCUUUUCAGCUAUCAAAAUUGAAAUAGCCACAUCAUCUUUCUAUUUAGGUCUAAAAUUAAUCUAAUCAUCAUCCUAGUCAGCUUUAUGUUAAAUUCGUUAUAAAAACCAAGUGGAGAUUUUGGAUAAUAUAAGACCAAGCAAGAACUAAACUCAAAAACAUAAGAACAAAGGAGGUAUUUUUUCCAAAAUUAUAUAUGUGUAUAUAAUUUGCACUGACUACUCUUUAUUUAGAUAUGCAGUGACUAUUGAAUUCAAUUUGUUGUUUCAGUAUAGGUAGCUUGCCUAGAUUUUUUGACGGGAAGUUAGAACCAGCUUUUCUUCAAUAAUUGUUCUAACAAUCUUUUCCAGAUCAAAAAUUGCUGAAUUCUUCUGGAAUACACAUGUCUUUUUUAACACAAAGAGGAUCCAUCCAAUUGUGUUGUGGGGUUGGAGGCUAUAACAGUUUUCAGAAUAAAGAGAAGUAGAUGUGAUGAGAAUUCCAUGAAAUCAAUGUACCUUCUCUAAAAUAUCUUCCAUCAUUCUUAUGAUCGGAUUUUUCCCCAACUCCCUUUUGCAGGAUAUUUGUCUUCCCUCCUUUCUCAACUCUUCCCUCUAUAUAUAACUAUAUAUACACACACUCCAUUAUUGGCA